CUGAAGAGAUUUGAAGGCGAGUGGCCUUUGUCACAUGGUCUGUGUGCCUCCAGCCCCAGAGUGAGCCGCUUGACCCUCAGAGUCUCUGAUCAGCUGGUGCUCAGAUGGGCACCUAGGGGCUCCGUGGAAGAAACCCAGCGAGACAAGGCUCCUCCUGGGACAAAGCCUGUGCAGGACCACUACCCAUGGCCAGAAAAGACCACAAGAAAGAGAGCAUGAUCCCAUCAAUGAGCAAGAGCAUUUGUCCCAGAAGUCCAGUGCCUCCCCCACAAAGAGCCCCUCUGGAGGAAGCCGCCUGCUGUGAGGGCCCAGGAGAGAAAUCCACAGCUGUAUAGAAGCUAUGAUGAGCCAAUGGAGUAUGAAGAGGACCAGAACCAGCACUGAGCCACAACAGUGAGGGAACCUGGGCCCUGGUGCUACAAAGCCACCAUCUUUGCUUGUAUUGCCUCAUCCAGCCCCACUGAUGGAGAAACCAUUGACCCUGAUUCAGUUCCUCCCAUGGUCACUCAUGUUCCCUGCAGUACAGUGGCCCUGGUGUCUUUGGGGAUCAUCACUUGGACUCAGCCGCAGAAGGAAAGCACAUUGCCAAAGCCUAAACUUGAGCAGACCAAACACCCCACACAAGCCAGUUCCAGGAUGGGUAUUGGAGCCAGGAAGGGAGAAGAAAACCCAGCCCUUUCCCACCUAUGAAGUUGCACAGGCGUGAACUGCUGUCAUCCUCUUGUGGAGCAGAGAGAGAGAGAGAGAGAGAGAGAGAGAGAGAGAGAGAGAGAGAGAGAGAGAGAGAGACCCUGGCAAUACAGAGAAAGCUAGGGAGAGUGAUAGGGAAGCCGAGGAGCUGUUGACAUCCUCCAGCAAAUUCUCUCUUUGCUGUGCAACCAAUUUUCCACCCAUCUGAACCAAAACUGUCCUACCACUUGCAUGUUGGGGCAUGCCACAUCUACUUUCAGUCAUGAGACCAGCUCACCUCUGAGGGCUGCCCCUGGCUGGUUUACCUGGGCUGGGCUGUCACCUGCUAUGAACCCCACUCACCUAGGACAGCAAGAAAGGCUUUGUGGGGGCUGGAGAGAUAACUCACAGAUUAAAACACUGACUGCUCCUGCAGAGGACCCAGGUUCAGUUCCCGGCACCCAUACUGCAGCUCACCACCCUUUAUAACUCCGGUUCCAGAGGAUCUGAUGCCCUCUUCUGGUCUCCAUGUGCACCAGGCACGCACAUGGUGCACAGACU